rnacentral:SRP_RNA from 1 species
GCUGGGUGCGGUGGCUCACGCCUGUAAUCCCAGCACUUUGGGAGGCUGAGGUGGGUGGAUCACCUGAGGUCAGGAGUUCAAGACCAGCCUGACCAACAUGGUGAAACCCCAUCUCUA